UCUUUUUUUUUUUUUUUUUUUUUUUGGAGCUGAGGACCGAACCCAGCCAGGGCCUUGUAGGCAAGCACUCUACCACUGAGCUGAAUCCCCAAUCCCAAAUUGAAUCUUUCUUAUUCAAAAUUUUCCCUUUAUUUUUCUUUUUCUUCCUUCCUACCCUUCCCAUAUCCAGUUUCUCCCCUCCAUUCAUGGCCUCUUUUAUUAUUAUUCAUACUCGCGCGCGCGCGCGCGCACACAACGGUGAAUAUGUAAAUACAACUGCUCGGUUCAUUUGGUAUGGCUCGUACAUGUUUUUUGGGCUGAUGACCUGGUAUUAGAUAACCAGUUAGGGGUUCAUCCCUGGGAAAGCCUGAUUCCCCCCCUCUCUGCAUUCAGUAGCUGCCCACAGCUCUUCAUCUAGGAGCUGGGACUGUUUUCUGUUUCUUCAUACAGAAGCUCUCUGUAGCCGAAACUUAACUUUGUUGCCCUUCUGGCCUCACAUUCACAGUAAUCCUGUCUCAGAGUCCCACUUCCUGGGAUAGCCUGAGCUAUCACAUAGGAUUUGAAUUUUACUUAUCAACAAGAAAAGUGAAAACAACUGAAAUGAGAAAAAAAAAGUUGGACAACACUAAAUACGGUGAGAAAACCAACACUUCGUUAGGUAUGAUUUACAAAACAGAACGUCAGAGAAUUUAAUAACGUUCAAAGUCUUCUAUUAAAAUUUAAGCUCCAUGUUUUUUGUCUUGAAGCUUCAAAAAUUAUUAUUUUGUUUGCUAGCAUAUUCUAAGUAGCUACACUAAUUCUUGGCAAAUAGUAAACGCUAACAAUAUGUAUUGGAGAAUAUUUUUAAAUUCACUUAUUUUUAUUUUAUGAAUAUGGGUGUUUUGCCUGCAAGUGUAUCUGCACCUCCUAAGUGCUGUGCCUCCGGAGGCUCGGAUGAGGCUGGGUCUCCUGGAACUGGGGUUACAGAUGGCUGUUAGCCACCACACAGGUGCUGGGAAUUGAACCGCUGUGGAUCUAUCUCAUAUCUAUAUUAUGAUAUAUUAUGAGCUAUUACUCAUACCAUAUUUUAUUGGCAAUGCUGGAAAUGGCACUCAUAAUCUAACAUUCUAUCAUCUCUAAAAGACAAAACGUAAUCUCAAUCUUCAGUUAAGAGAGGACUAUUUGGGUUGGGGAUUUAGCUCAGUGGUAGAGCGCUUGCCUAGCAAACGCAAGGCCCUGGGUUCGGUCCCCAGCUCCGAAAAAAAAGAAAAAGAAAAAAAAAAAAAAAAAAAGAGAGGACUAUUUGGCAGGCAUUCAAAAGGCAAGAGAAAUAUAAACUACAACAUUUUUCACAUUUUUCUCUAAUUUGUUGUUUUAGUUAAAAUGAUAAAGGCCAAAAACCUAAAAAUCCAACCCUAAUGCAAUGUGUUACAUCUACUACUUUAAAAAAUAUUUACAAAAGCCAGGCAUAGCAACGCAUGUGUUUAAUCCCUGCACCUGGGAGGCUGUUGAAUCCUGACAAGCAUGGUCUACAUAGGAGUCCAGGACAACCAGAGCUAGAGACUCUGUCUCUAAAAAACAAACAAAACUCAUACACAGAGACACGCUGGCUGAAUGAAUGAACGAACGAAUGAACAAUUGAAUGAACUAACCUGUUCCAAACAUCAUUCAUUACCAGAGCCAGAAACUAGCAUCAAAGAGCUCUUUAACAGUUCUGGCAUAGACACAGAGUUAUCAAUCACUCGCUUCCAAAUAAACAGAGGGAAAGAGAUGAAAUCUAACAUGUCCUUUGUGGGCCCAGUGGCACACAUCCAUAAUCCCAGCUUCUUGGGAGACUGGGGCAGAAGGAUCACUUAAGUCUAAGAACCUGGACCAGAAAGGUAACAUAGCCAUACACUUCGAGCUCUCCUCAUGUCUCUGCCCUGAAGAAUCUCCCAUUUGAGUAUACCAUCUCUAACUGUUAGAAGAGUAGAAAAGAGAAACACAAGGUAACAUAAAUAGAUCAAUAAUGAAUGUGAAACCAGCCUACACAAUUAUCUGACUUAGUUCAAGCAGCUAAAAAAAAAUUUUAAACAAAAAGUGUGAGGAACUGAGGAGAUGGCUCAGUAGGUAAAAACACUAUGUAACAUGAGGAGUGGAAUUCAAAUCCCCAGUACCCACAUAAAAACCCAGCACAGCAGAGCAUGCCUCUAACCCCAGCACUGAAGAACAGGAACAAGCUGGCCAGCCUAACAGAAACAACAAGCUCUCAUUCACUGAGAGGCCAGUCUCAAGGCUGCAAGGCAGAAAGUGAUGCAGGAAGACACCUGACAUCCUCCCCUAGUCUCUUCCUGCUCACCAACAGGCACAGGAACCUGCACAAUCAUGUGCAUGCACUGCACACCACACACGCACACACACACACACACACACACACACGUUAAUAAAACCAAGGACUGGAGAGAUGGUUCAGCUCAAGUAAAUCGCACCUGUGACUCUUGCAGAGGACCCAGGUUCAGUUCCCAGUAGCCAUAUGGUAGUUUAUAACCAUCUAUAACUCUAGUUUCAGGGGAUUUGACACCCUCUUCUGACUUAUGUGGGCACCAGACAUGCAUGUGGUAUACAUAUACACAUGCAAGCAAACAUUCAUACAUACAUAAUUAAUUAAUUUUAUCUAAGAACUACAAAUUUACUAAGUUUGAAGGAAAAAGAUACAUUAGUAAAUACUAAAAAAAAACCUGAGGUCCCCACCCCCGUGUCUUUACAAUAUAAUUUCACUGCAUCUUAUUCCAAAUUGACUUAUUUGAAUUAUCAAUUUAAGUUCAAACAUGAGAUCCUAAAGAAUAAUCCCUCUUAACGAUUCAGUAUUCACUCUGGAUGCAUUUUAACACCUAAAUAUACAACCACAAGAACAUACGCAAAUUAUGAAAAUGACUAUAAAACUGAGAGCCUGAAGCAAAUUUCCAGAGAUAAAUGAUAGUGAACAGAAACUAAAAACACAGUGCGAUCCAGGGAGAAAAGAAAGUGGGCACACAACCAAGAAGCAAUUCUACAGAAGUCUUCAAGGGAGCAAAACCUUUAAGAGGGGAAAACUGCCAGAAUUAGCCAACAGAGUCAGAAUACAAGUGCCUGCCAACAGAGAUCAUGUUUAAGGCCGGUCACUAUCUACACUCAGAAAGCCAACACCCAAAAGUCAAUGUUUCCAGUCCUCAAAUUCGAGUUUCAGAAGGACCCUUCCAAACAGAUUCAUGACCAAGACUGGACCAUCUUAAAAGUUCUUCCCUGUUCAAUGCCAGUCAAAACACAAUGACCCACAGGAAAUAAAUAUGGAAAUGUAAAGUGAAGUUUAUGAGGUUAUGCCUGAAAGCUGUGGCUCUUUUACCUGAGGGGUGUGUGUGUGUGUGUGUGUGUGUGUGUGUGUGUGUGUGUACACUGUAAGACACACAUACAUAUAUAGUAUACAUAAAAUCACUUUUGCUGGGGAUAUGGCUCAGUUGGUACAGGGUCUACCUAGCCAGCAUGAAGCCCUGAGUUUGAUCCCCGGCAGUAAACAAACUUAAGCCUAGUGGUACAGUCCACUUGGGAGAUAUAGGCACAAAGAUCCAAAAUCAAGGUCAUUCUUGAUAUUCUUGACUACAUAAUGAGUUCAAGGACAGCCUGGUCUACUUGAGACCCUGUCUCAAAAUAAAUAAAUAAAAUCCACAUCCUGGUUCCUGGGGAAAAUACUUUUCUAUCUCAAAGUUCUAGGAAAGAAACACCUCAAGACCUCUUUAUCAUAACACAGAAAUAAUCUACUACCCAAACACAUGCCCCACCUUAUAAGUACAGGCAAAUCUAGGCCAAGGAGACAAGAUGGCAGGAAGCUACCACAGGGCAGGCGGGUAGGCUGGGUGGGCUCAGGCCAGGGAGUAAGUACACAGCCACCAGCUCUGGAGAGGGCAAACUUCUGGAGAGCUAAGAAGGAAGGGACUGGCAGGUGGUUGGUACCUCAUCCCUCCUGGAUGUCUUGAGAUGACUACGCUUGGUUUUACAGAAACGGAGAACUCAGACUCUCCUAAAUGUGUGAUGUUUAAAUGUUUCCUAUGAAACUGGAGGACGGGGCUCUGUGGGAAGAGAAAAUUUAAUGAGAGAGAGAGAGAGAGAGAGAGAGAGAGAGAGAGAGAGAGAGAGAGAGAGAGAGAGAGAGCGCGCUCUGAAGGAAGAGAAAGUGUAAUAAAUUAAAAAGAGCGAGAGGAGAGAUCUCAAGAGCAGUUUUCGGUAGAGAUCGUCCCAGGGCAAAGUUAUCUCCCUGGUGGUUCCCGGCACGGAGGCAGAAAGAGGCGCCCCACCUGCAGAAGGCCGGCGCUGUGACCCCUAGGACGGUGAUCAGAGACAGCCCCGUCGCGGGUGGGAAAGUCUGCAAGGGGAUCUGAGCAGAAGUUAACCUGACCAAGAGGCAAAGGCGCUGAGUAGGGCAAGUGCCUGAGCAGGAUGCGACUUCUGGAAGCGAGGCUGACUUGAGGGAGCUGAGGGGAACUCUGCAGUCGUCGCUCCCGUGGGCCAGAGCUGAGCAAGUCUGAGGGAACCCUGCCCCGCCGAAGUCGAGCCUCGCACGACCCGCGGGCGCUACCUCGCAAGAGCCUCACGAGAGUUCACCUGGGGGCCGUCAGGCCCGUAAGAGAAACUUGCCGAGAGGACACACCAGAAGAGGGCAUCAGAUCCCAUUACAGAUGGUUGUGAGCCACCAUGUGGUUGCUGGCAAUUGAACUCAGGACCUCUGGAAGAGCAGUCAGUGCUCUUAACUGAUGAGCCAUCCCUCCAGCCAUGAAGAAAGCUUUAAACUGCUGACCCUCCUGCCUCCAUCUCCAGAAUAUUGGGAUGCCUUCUACACAGCAUGCCUACUGCUCAUCCAGGAAUUGAUUCUCUCCAUAAAGUCGUCACACUCGUUUUCCAGAGCAUAUUCAUCUUUCAGCACAAAGGAAGACUUCUCCAGGAAGCAAUUCCUACCUAAGCCUCUAGGUUGAAGAGGAGCCCCCUUCUCUGCUCCAGUGUCAUGUGGGUAGUCACUUUUAUUUGUGUGACUCUUUACUGGAUUGUAAAAUUUUUGUUGUUUUGGGAAGAGCUUGCUAAAUUGCCCAGGUUAACAUUGAACUCACAACUUCUUCACCUCAGCCUUCAAAAUAGCUGGGAUUAUAGGCACAGAUCACUGUGUUAGGCUUUACUGUGAGUUUGGUUCAUUUGAAAGCCCUGUCUGGGGGAAUCGAUCCCAUAGCCAAGGCCCAAGACAGAAUUAACAUUUGGUUAAUAAUGGCUGUCAGGACUAUUGACUGAACAUGCUCCUACUGUCUUCUAGAUAAUGUAGAUGCUUCUAACUUUACGUUACUGAGGUAAGCUGACCCCUCCAUCUCAUCUAAGCAUAGCGUUCCUGACCCCCACCCCAAUAUCUAACAGUGAGUAACUAUGCCACAUCAAAUAUUGCACUAUAUUAAAUCCCAGGGGUUUUGGUCAGCUCUUCCUUUCUGAACGCCUUACAAUGUGUAACACAUCUCUAGGUCUGCUUAAUCUGUAGAAUGGGGAUUAUAACAUUUUAAUUGGUAGAGUUCUAUAAGGAAAAAAUGAAAUACCAUAUAUUAAUUUUUUUUCCUGAGAUUGGAGAGAUGGCUCAGCAAUUUAGAAUACUGGCUUCUCUUCCAGAGGACCUGGGUUCAACUCUCAGCACAUGACAGCUAACAAAAAUAUGGUAUACAUAACUUUGGAAUAGGGGACCUGAAAUCCUAUUCUGACCUCUGUGGGCACCAGGCACAUAUGUAGUGUACAGACAAAUACAUAUAGCAAAAUAUCCAUACAUAUAAAAUAAAUAAAAGUUAAAAAAAUAAAAUCUUUCGCUCUAGGCUGAGGACUAGUCCACAUACUCACCCUGCACUUGAGGGUCUUGUUGUUCUCAUGGUAUUUCCCUCGGUGAUAAAGGAUGACCUGUAGUCUGUUGUUGCCAAAGCCACAGAUGUCUGGGCCUGGAAAUUAAACCCCAGAGCAUGAUUUCACAUCUAUUUCAGGCAGUGUGCCCAGUUUGAGGCCAAGACCCAAGACAGAUGCAGCCUGUGUAUCACUCCGUGGUUCCAGAAAGAGACAGAUGCCACACUCAAAGUCAGGAUUAUUUGAGAAGGAUUUAAUAAAUGGGAUUUUUUUUUAACAAAGGGGGAGGCAAGACUUUGAGAGAAGGAAAGGUACAGUGAUUCUCAUGGGUAGCAGCACCAAAGGGGACAGGAGGAGUGAGAGAGAGUCUGGGAGCAAGCACAGCAGGAGAGAUGUAGGCUUUGAGUUAAGAGAUAUAACUCUCUUCUCUUCCUCUAAUCUCCUGCCAGAGCUCCAUGACCAAACCAACGGAAGCCUUCUGAAGUCAGGUAUCUUAGCUAGGGCGGCUAUUGCUGUGAUGAAACACCAUGACCAAAAGGUAAGUUGGGAAGGAAAAGGAUUUAUUUGGUUUACAAUUCUACAUUGCUAUUCAUCACUAAAGGAAGUCAGGACAGGACCUUAACCAAGGCUGGAACCUGGAGACCCGGGUGCUGCUUAAGGUCUUGCUCCACAUGGCUUGCUCAGCCUGCUUUCUUACAGAACUCAGGGUUACCAACACAGUGAUGGCCCCACCCACAAUGGGCUGGGCCCUUUCCCAUUGAUCGCUAAUUGAAAAAAUGCCUUACAGCUGGAUCUUAUGGAGGCAUUUCCUAAACGGAGGCUCCUUCGUCUCUGAUGACUCUAGCUUGUGUCAGGUUGGCACACCACACCAGCCAGUACAUCGGGCACUAAUUCUAACAAAUAUUCAUUGCCAUCUCACUUUAGAUCGGGUGGCUCAGAAAAGUCCAGCAGCAUGCCCAAAGAUCUGGUAAGACGCCUUGCAAGGAUCCAAAGCCACACCCACCUAGUGACAGAGCCUGUGACCUCUGCUUUGUGACAGUUCUAGUUAGAACUGCGGAUUGGAGCUGGGAGGCCAGAGAGGUCUGAGACUUUCACUAUUGCUCACAUACUCACAACCCACACAGAGCUUCUCGGCCUUUCAGCUAAUAUCAAGUAUGAAACAUAUUCACACAUACACAUGCACGCAUACACCACAUAACACAUAUACUCAUAACAGCACAUACUCACACACGCACACAAGGCAUUUACCCUGUACUUUACCCAUAUUGAUCUUCUCCCUAAUUUACCACACGUUUGAAUUUCAUGCCUGAGCCUUCACAUUCUGUUGAUUUUGUCCUCGUUACAAGCUCUCCUCCUCUUAUUAAAACCUAACUCACUCUUUAAGGAGUAAUUAAUACCUUCUCCAAAAAGCCUCAGUUAUAUUCAAUCAGGCUGUCUCUUAUGAUGUCAUAGCAGCUUCUCAUCAAUACUUUUCUCCAAAUAAUUUUUAAAAAAGAUUUAUUUAUUUAUUUAUUUCAUAUAUAAAUACACUGUAGCUGUCUUCAGACACCCCAGAAGCGGGCAUCGGACCCCAUUACAGAUGGUUGUGAGACACCAUGUGAUUGCUGGGACUUGAACUCAGGACCUCUGGAAGAGCAGUCAGUGUUCUUAACCACUAAGCCAUCUCUCCAGUCCUCCAAAUAACUUUAGAAAGACACUCUGUAGCCUUGGCUGUCUCACCGGUCAAAUGAAAGACCACAUCCCUAGAAGUUGCUCUAGCACUCCAUAGUUAACACAGGCAUUCAGGGGCUCAUGCUUGGUGCUAGGCUUUGCUCAGGGCCUAGGGAGAGAGAUUCCAUGUAACCUUGGGGAGAAGGUAGGAACAAGGAGUAGAAGUGGGGGGUGGCCUAGGCCCUGAGAUGGGAACAGUGAAUGCACAGGCCAUGAACUGUGGAAAGGCUGUGUGUUCAAGUGAUGUAUGGACAAGGCUGGCCUCAAAUUCCUAGCAAUCCUCCUGUUUCUGCCCCUGGUUACUGGUAUGUAGCUAACACUUGGUUCAGUACCCUUUUCAAACUAAAGUUUUAUUUUUAUGUUUAUUUUAUUAUGUGUAUGGGUUUUGUCUGCAUAUGUUUCUAUGCACCACUUAUGUGCCUGGUACUAAUGGAGGCCAGAAGAGAGGGAGUUGGAUCCCCUGGAACUGGAGAAGGUUGUAAGAUGCCAUGUGAGUGCUGGGUCCUCUUCACUGCUGAGCCUUCUCUCCAGCCUGGCUUAAUACUUUUUAGGAAUAUAGAUUUCAGGCUGUAGAGAUGGCUCAAUGGUUAAGAGCACUGACUGCUCUUCCAGAGGUUCUGAGUUCAAAUCUCAGCAACUACAUGGUGGCUCACAACCAUCUGUAAUGGGAUCCGAUGCCCUCUUCUGGUGUGUCUGAAGACUGCUACAGUGUACUUAUAUAUAAUAAAUAAAUAAACCUUUAAAAAGAAAAAGAAUAUAGAUUUCAUUCUGCUUUUUAAAAAGUUAUCCAGCUGCUUUAAGGAAGAAGACAUUGGCUUUAUAGACAGACUGACUCAAAUUCUGACUUUUUACUUACCCUCAGCAAAUUCCUUGCCUCAAUUUCCUUAUCCACAAAAUGGAGAUAGGAACACAUGGUCCAGAUUCUGAAGAAAAUACAAAGGUGCUGGGGUAGACACACUUUACACACCCCAAAUGUUCCUCUGCACAAUGAGAGAAGGACUGGCAGCAGGUACUCGGGCUUGCACCUAUCGUCCCAGCACUGGGGAGGCUGAAGCAGGAGAAUCACAGUGGGUCUGAAGCUACUGCCCUACUGGUGAGGUUGGAACUACAGAGUGAGAACUUGUGAAGGGGAGUGUGAAUUUUAAGGAAAAAGGAGGGUGCAGACUUUAAAGGGGAACAGUGAAGCUGAAGAGAGGGAUUUGAAAAAGGAAGAAGAGCAGGUAGGGGGAAGG